rnacentral:rRNA from 1 species
AACGAACGCUGGCGGCAGGCCUAACACAUGCAAGUCGAACGCAUCCUUCGGGUGAGUACUAGUGGCGCACGGGUGAGGAACGCGUGGGUAAUCUGCCUUAGAGUGGGGGAUAACUAGUCGAAAGAUCAGCUAAUACCGCAUAAGACCACAGGAGCUGCGGCUCACGGGGUCACAGGUUUUCCGUUCUAAGAUGAGUCCGCGUAAGAUUAGCUAGUUGGUGAGGUAACGGCUCACCAAGGCGACGAUCUUUAACUGGUCUGAGAGGAUGAUCAGUCACACUGGAACUGAGACACGGUCCAGACUCCUACGGGAGGCAGCAGUAGGGAAUAUUGCACAAUGGAGGAAACUCUGAUGCAGCGACGCCGCGUGAGUGAUGAAGGCCUUCGGGUCGUAAAGCUCUGUCGCAGGGGAAUAACACAAUGAAUGUACCCUGUAAGAAAGGAUCGGCUAACUUCGUGCCAGCCGCCGCAGUAAGAC